AUCCUUUUGUAGUUCAUAAGCGUGAUGAUUGGGUGUUCACACUUACGUGAGACAUGUGCCUCCCUCAAACCUUGUUAUGACAUUUGCACAUUAUCUCUCUGAUG
ensembl:snoRNA